AGUUUUGCGCAGUGGCAGUAUCGUAGCCACUGAGGUUUAUCUCAGGCGCAAUUAUUGCUGAUUGAAAACUUUUCCCCUGUGAGUAUGCUCAGUGGGCACACAUCUCUGCAAGGGCCUGGGGAGCUGGGCU
rnacentral:snRNA from 3 species